rnacentral:rRNA from 1 species
CCUACGGGUGGCAGCAGUGGGGGAUAUUGCACAAUGGGGGGAACCCUGAUGCAGCGACGCCGCGUGGGUGAAGACUGCCCUAUGGGUUGUAAACCUCUUUUGUCAGGGAGCAAUUGGCGCUACGUGUAGCGUUAUCGAGAGUACCUGAAGAAAAGCAUCGGCUAACUCCGUGCCAGCAGCCGCGGUAAUACGGAGGAUGCGAGCGUUAUCCGGAUUUAUUGGGUUUAAAGGGUGCGUAGGCGGAAUGCCAAGUCAGCGGUAAAAUCGCGGGGCUCAACCUCGCUCCGCCGUUGAAACUGGCGUUCUUGAGUGGGCGAGAAGUAUGCGGAAUGCGUGGUGUAGCGGUGAAAUGCAUAGAUAUCACGCAGAACUCCGAUUGCGAAGGCAGCAUACCGGCGCCCAACUGACGCUGAAGCACGAAAGCGUGGGUAUCGAACAGGAUUAGAUACCCUAGUAGUC